CCUACGGGUGGCAACAGUGGGGGAUAUUGCACAAUGGGGGAAACCCUGAUGCAGCGACGCCGCGUGUGGGAAGACGGUCCUCUGGAUUGUAAACCACUGUCCCCAGGGACGAAGAUGACGGUACCUGGGGAGGUAGCUCCGGCUAACUACGUGCCAGCAGCCGAGGUAAUACGUAGGGAGCGAGCGUUGUCCGGAUUUACUGGUUGUAAGGGGAGCGUAGGCGGGGAUGCAAGUUGGGUGUCAAAACUACCGGCUCAACUGGUAGUCGCACUCAAAACUGCAGCUCUUGAGUGAAGUAGAGGCAGGCGGAAUUCGUAGUGUAGCGGUGAAAUGCGUAGAUAUUAGGAGGAACACCAGUGGCGAAGGCGGCCUGCUGGGCUUUUACUGACGCUGAGGCUCGAAAGUGUGGGGAGCAAACAGGAUUAGAUACCCUAGUAGUC
rnacentral:rRNA from 1 species